rnacentral:tRNA from 1 species
AAGGGAGACCUAAUUCCGGUAGGAGACGAAAAAAAAGUAGUCCCAACCAAGAAUCAAUCCCAAAAGGUCGGAAUGAGGUAUGAGGCUUUCAAACUAGGUUCUGGGUUCAUAAAAGACCUGAAUCAGGAACAAGGGCUAUUAGCUCAGGUGGUUAGAGCGCACCCCUGAUAAGGGUGAGGUCCCUGGUUCGAGUCCAGGAUGGCCCACCUGCACAGGUGGCAAAAACAAGAGAAGCUCCGAAUCAGCACCUUAUCUUAUAUACAUAUAUAAGAGAGAAUGCUGGCUCUGAGUAAAGAGUCCAGAGGAACCUUGAAAACUGCAUAGAGCUAGGUGGAAAAGCCAAAAAAGAAGACCGCAA